AAGAAAACAGGCUAUGGUGAAAUAAAUGGUAAUGCUGGAGAAAGAGAAAUAUCUUUAAAGAGCCUGGGUUCUGAUGAAGCUACCAGCCCUAUUUCCAGGGUCCUCAAUGGCAACCAGCAAGCUGUAGAUACUAGUCUGAAGCAGACUGUGAAAGCUGGCACCUUUGGGAAGACAGGAAUUAAAACCAAGAAUUUCAUUCAGAAAAACAGUAUGAACAAGAAGAAGGGAAA